UCAGAUUGAACGCUGGCGGCAGGCCUAACACAUGCAAGUCGAGCGGCAGCGACAACAUUGAACCUUCGGGGGAUUUGUUGGGCGGCGAGCGGCGGACGGGUGAGUAAUGCCUAGGAAAUUGCCCUGAUGUGGGGGAUAACCAUUGGAAACGAUGGCUAAUACCGCAUGAUGCCUACGGGCCAAAGAGGGGGACCUUCGGGCCUCUCGCGUCAGGAUAUGCCUAGGUGGGAUUAGCUAGUUGGUGAGGUAAGGGCUCACCAAGGCGACGAUCCCUAGCUGGUCUGAGAGGAUGAUCAGCCACACUGGAACUGAGACACGGUCCAGACUCCUACGGGAGGCAGCAGUGGGGAAUAUUGCACAAUGGGCGCAAGCCUGAUGCAGCCAUGCCGCGUGUGUGAAGAAGGCCUUCGGGUUGUAAAGCACUUUCAGUAGGGAGGAAGGUUACGAUGCGUUAAUAGCGUAAGGAUUUGACGUUACCUACAGAAGAAGCACCGGCUAACUCCGUGCCAGCAGCCGCGGUAAUACGGAGGGUGCGAGCGUUAAUCGGAAUUACUGGGCGUAAAGCGCAUGCAGGUGGUUUGUUAAGUCAGAUGUGAAAGCCCAGGGCUCAACCUUGGAAUUGCAUUUGAAACUGGCAAACUAGAGUACUGUAGAGGGGGGUAGAAUUUCAGGUGUAGCGGUGAAAUGCGUAGAGAUCUGAAGGAAUACCGGUGGCGAAGGCGGCCCCCUGGACAGAUACUGACACUCAGAUGCGAAAGCGUGGGGAGCAAACAGGAUUAGAUACCCUGGUAGUCCACGCCGUAAACGAUGUCUACUUGGAGGUUGUGGCCUUGAGCCGUGGCUUUCGGAGCUAACGCGUUAAGUAGACCGCCUGGGGAGUACGGUCGCAAGAUUAAAACUCAAAUGAAUUGACGGGGGCCCGCACAAGCGGUGGAGCAUGUGGUUUAAUUCGAUGCAACGCGAAGAACCUUACCUACUCUUGACAUCCASAGAAGCUUGCGGAGACGCGAGUGUGCCUUCGGGAACUNUGAGACAGGUGCUGCAUGGCUGUUGUCAGCU
rnacentral:rRNA from 1 species